CCUACGGGCGGCUGCAGUGAGGAAUAUUGGUCAAUGGACGAGAGUCUGAACCAGCCAAGUAGCGUGAAGGAUGACUGCCCUAUGGGUUGUAAACUUCUUUUAUAUGGGAAUAAAACGUUCCACGUGUGGGAUUUUGUAUGUACCAUAUGAAUAAGGAUCGGCUAACUCCGUGCCAGCAGCCGCGGUAAUACGGAGGAUCCGAGCGUUAUCCGGAUUUAUUGGGUUUAAAGGGAGCGUAGGUGGAUUGUUAAGUCAGUUGUGAAAGUUUGCGGCUCAACCGUAAAAUUGCAGUUGAAACUGGCAGUCUUGAGUACAGUAGAGGUGGACGGAAUUCGUGGUGUAGCGGUGAAAUGCUUAGAUAUCACGAAGAACUCCGAUUGCGAAGGCAGUUCACUGGACUGCAACUGACACUGAGGCUCGAAAGUGUGGGUAUCAAACAGGAUUAGAUACCCGUGUAGUC
rnacentral:rRNA from 1 species